rnacentral:rRNA from 1 species
AUUGAACGCUGGCGGCAUGCCUUACACAUGCAAGUCGAACGGUAACAGGUUAAGCUGACGAGUGGCGACCGGGUGAGUAAUGUAUCGGAACGUGCCCAGUCGUGGGGGAUAACUGCUCGAAAGAGCAGCUAAUACCGCAUACGACCUGAGGGUGAAAGCGGGGGAUCGCAAGACCUCGCGCGAUUGGAGCGGCCGAUAUCAGAUUAGGUAGUUGGUGAGGUAAAGGCUCACCAAGCCGACGAUCUGUAGCUGGUCUGAGAGGACGACCAGCCACACUGGGACUGAGACACGGCCCAGACUCCUACGGGAGGCAGCAGUGGGGAAUUUUGGACAAUGGGCGCAAGCCUGAUCCAGCCAUGCCGCGUGCGGGAAGAAGGCCUUCGGGUUGUAAACCGCUUUUGUCAGGGAAGAAAAGGUUCUGGCUAAUACCUGGGGCUCAUGACGGUACCUGAAGAAUAAGCACCGGCUAACUACGUG